rnacentral:rRNA from 1 species
GAUGAACGCUAGCGGCAGGCCUAACACAUGCAAGUCGAACGGUAACAUGAGUAGCAAUACUUGAUGACGAGUGGCGCACGGGUGCGUAACGCGUAUGCAACUUACUUCUAACUGGAGAAUAGCCUUCCGAAAGGAAGAAUAAUACUCCAUAAUAUUACGAUGUGGCAUCACAUUGUUCUUAAAGCUUCGGCGGUUAGAGAUGGGCAUGCGUUCUAUUAGUUAGUUGGAGUGGUAACGGCACCCCAAGACAGCGAUAGAUAGGGGCCCUGAGAGGGGGAUCCCCCACACUGGUACUGAGACACGGACCAGACUCCUACGGGAGGCAGCAGUGAGGAAUAUUGGACAAUGGGCGAGAGCCUGAUCCAGCCAUGCCGCGUGCAGGAAGACGGCCCUAUGGGUUGUAAAACUGCUUUUUGUACGGGAAGAAACACCCCCUCGUGAGGGGGGCUUGACGGUACCGUAAGAAUAAGGAUCGGCUAACUCCGUGCCAGCAGCCG